UAACGUUCUCUUCGUUUUGAAUCCCUUUUAAUUUUGUUCACAUCACUCAAUUUUCUAUUUUUUUGCAUUCCUGAGAGGAGCCACGGCGGUGAUGAGAGGAGCCACGGCGGUGGCAACGGCUGAGAGGAAGAGGAACAGUCUGGAUGAGGCGCUGAUAGGAAAAGGGAGAAAGAAGAGAACGCCUUAAUCGCAGCCCUUAGAUUCGUUGUUGCUAGGGUUUUCUAUUUUAUGCUCGAUUGUUUGCUACGGAUGUAGCUGAAGAAGUUAAGCAGAUUCAUAAUGUUAUGGGAGCUGGUGUAGAUGUUAUCUUUGAUUGUGCUGGUUUUAACAAAACCAUUACUACAGCAUUGAAUGCUACUCAACCAGGUGGCAAAGUUUGUCUAGUUGGAAUGGGACAUUCUGAAAUGACUGUGCCACUCACACCAGCUGCUGCAAGACAAAUACAGCAAUUUAUCAGGAUGUCUUUUCCUGUGUACCUAAUGAUCUGAUACACACCAGACUUGCUUUCAAACAAAACAUGGCUUUGUGGAAAGAAAAAAUUGGACACACUACCAUCGAUUUAGGAAUAGCCCCGGUUAAACUAGAGUCCUAUCAGGAUGGAGAUAUCAAGAACACUAAUCCCAUGGAGAGAUUAGCAUCAAUCAAGGGUCAUCUUUUAUGCUCGAUUGUUUGCUAUGGAUGUAGCUGAAGAAGUUAAGCAGAUUCAUGAUGUUAUGGGAGCUGGUGUAGAUGUUACCUUUGAUUGUGCUGGUUUUAACAAAACCAUUACUACAGCAUUGAAUGCUAAUCAACCCGGUGGCAAAGUUUAUCUAGUUGGAAUGGGACAUUCCGAAAUGACUGUGCCACUCACACCAGCUGCAGCAAGGUAAUCAGACUUCGUCCAAAAGUAUGUACCAAAGAUACUUACAGGGACUAAAACUAAAGUGUUAUAUUAGCAGGGACUAACAUCAUAUCAUAUUUAAACCAAAAUUAAAUAAAAUGUUAUAUACUGACAAAAUGUAUAUAAUGUGACUAUAUUAUAGACCCCUUUAAAAUAUUUACAUAAAUUAAGAAAAAUAAGUAUGUGUGUAUAUAAUGUGAUUAUUCAUAGUGAUGCAUGAAUGGAUAUAUAAUUUUAAUGACCCUAGUCCCUUAAUGUGAAAGUUAGUUGUUGCCUUAAUAUGCUACUCAAGCAAUUGUCUAGAUCGGUGUCUGCUUUUGUAUUAAAAAAAUUGUGAAUUUUUAUUCAUGGUGAUGCAUGAAUGUUUAUAUAUUCUGCUUUGAUGACCCUUAGUCCCUAAAUUCAAUUAUGCAACUGUGAUUAAUAGAAAAGUUUUGUAAGGGUUGGAUGCCUCAAUGACCUUUGAGAAAAAUGCAUUAUGAAUUCCUUAUUCAUAAUGGAAAAAUAGGAUAGUGGCUUUAGAAUUGAUUUUGCAUUAUCAACUUAAUGACCCUUGUCCCAAAUGUUAUAUACCAAUUGGAAAUGUUGGAAGAACUUAAUGACCCUAGUCCCUGAAUAUGAUAGCUAGUUGUUGCCUUAAUUGCUACUCAAGCAAUUGUCUUGAUCGGUGUCCGCUUUUCUAUUAAAAAAAAUUAUGAAUUUUUAUUCAUAGUGACGCAUGAAAGGAUAUAUAUUCUUAAUGACCCUAGUCCCUGAAUAUGAAAGCUAGUUGUUGCCUUAAUUGCUACUCAAGCAAUUGUCUAGAUUGGUGUCCGCUUUUCUAUUAAAAAAUAUUAUGAAUUUUUAUUCAUAGUGAUGCAUGAAUGGAGACAUAUUCUUAAUGCCCUAGUCCCUGAAUGUGAAAGCUAGUUGUUGUCUUAAUUGCUACUCAAGCAAUUGUCUCGAUCGGUGUCUGCUUUUCUAUUAAAAAAAAUUAUAAAUUUUUAUUCAGAGAUGCAUGAAUGGAUAUAUAUUCUUAAUGACCCUAGUCCCUCGUAUGAAAGCUAGUUGUUGCCUAAAUUGCUACUCAAGCAAUUGUCUCGAUUGGUGUCCGCUUUUCUAUUAAAAAAAA